UACGUAGGGUGCAAGCGUUGUCCGGAAUUAUUGGGCGUAAAGAGCUCGUAGGCGGUUUGUCGCGUCUGCUGUGAAAACCCGAGGCUCAACCUCGGGCCUGCAGUGGGUACGGGCAGACUAGAGUGCGGUAGGGGAGAUUGGAAUUCCUGGUGUAGCGGUGGAAUGCGCAGAUAUCAGGAGGAACACCGAUGGCGAAGGCAGAUCUCUGGGCCGUAACUGACGCUGAGGAGCGAAAGCGUGGGGGAGCAAACAGG
rnacentral:rRNA from 1 species